rnacentral:rRNA from 1 species
AUGGCGGGAGGGGACACCAAGGCCGAGGCGGGGGUGCGCGUGCUGGGCGGGCGGAUGAGCCCGUUCACAAUGCGGGCGCGCAUGGCGCUGGAGCUGCGCGGGGUCGCGUACGAGCUCCUGGAGGAGAGCUUCGAGCCGCGCAAGAGCGACCGCCUCCUCGCCGCCAACCCCGUCUACAAGAAGAUCCCCGUCCUGCUCCUCCCCGACGACCGCGCCGUCUGCGAGUCCGCCGUCAUCGCGCAAUACAUCGACGAGGCCUGGCCCGCCGCCGCUGAAGCCGGCGCCGCGCCCCUGCUGCCCGACGACCCCUACCAGCGCGCGAUGCACCGCUUCUGGACCGCAUUCGUCGACGACAAGUUCUGGCCGGCGCUCGACGGCGCCUCCCUGGCGCCCACCCCGGAGGCUCGCGCCGAGGCCGCCGCCGAGGCCCGUGCAGCGCUGCGGCACCUCGAGGAGGCCUUCGCCGCGCUCAGCAACGGCGGGACCUUCUUCUCCGGCGCCGCGCCUGGGCUGCUCGAUAUCGCGCUCGGUUGCUUCCUGCCGGCACUCAGGGCCUGCGAGCGCCUCAGCGGCGCCGUCCUGCUGGACGAGGCUGCCACGCCGCUCCUCAAGAAGUGGAGCGAGAGGUUCGCGGGCGUCCACGCAGUCAAGCCGCUCCUGCCCGAGACGGACGAGGUUGUCGGCUUCACAAGAUUCCUUCAGGCUAAGUUCGGCGUCGCGGGCGCAAAUUAA